AUAACGUACGGAAAACCCGGGAGCUAAUACCGGAUAAUAUAUUGAACCGCAUGGUUCAAUAGUGAAAGACGGUUUUGCUGUCACUUAUAGAUGGAUCCGCGCCGCAUUAGCUAGUUGGUAAGGUAACGGCUUACCAAGGCAACGAUGCGUAGCCGACCUGAGAGGGUGAUCGGCCACACUGGAACUGAGACACGGUCCAGACUCCUACGGGAGGGCAGUG
rnacentral:rRNA from 1 species